GUUACACAAUCAUCAUUUUUAAUGUGACUUAAAUACUCUGAAAUGUAUAGUCGGUGAACAACAAUAGCACAGCAGUCAAUAACAUCAGCAUUUUGUAUAGCAACAAUGUGUAUAGUAACUUAAUAAACAACAUAGAAUAAUGGUCAUCCUGAAUUUAUAUGAAAAAAAAAAAAAAAGGUACAACAUUUCAUUAAAUGGCUG